AAAUUGAAGAGUUUGAUCAUGGCUCAGAUUGAACGCUGGCGGCAGGCCUAACACAUGCAAGUCGAACGGUAACAGGAAACAGCUUGCUGUUUCGCUGACGAGUGGCGGACGGGUGAGUAAUGUCUGGGAAACUGCCUGAUGGAGGGGGAUAACUACUGGAAACGGUAGCUAAUACCGCAUAAUGUCGCAAGACCAAAGAGGGGGAUCUUCGGGCCUCUUGCCAUCGGAUGUGCCCAGAUGGGAUUAGCUAGUAGGUGGGGUAACGGCUCACCUAGGCGACGAUCCCUAGCUGGUCUGAGAGGAUGACCAGCCACACUGGAACUGAGACACGGUCCAGACUCCUACGGGAGGCAGCAGUGGGGAAUAUUGCACAAUGGGCGCAAGCCUGAUGCAGCCAUGCCGCGUGUAUGAAGAAGGCCUUCGGGUUGUAAAGUACUUUCAGCGGGGAGGAAGGGAGUAAAGUUAAUACCUUU
rnacentral:rRNA from 1 species